rnacentral:rRNA from 1 species
GCUUAACGCGAAGAACCUUACCUGGGUUUGACAUUCUGGGAAAAGCCGUAGAGAUACGGUGUCCGAAAGGGUCCAGAACAGGUGGUGCAUGGCUGUCGUCAGCUCGUGUCGUGAGAUGUUGGGUUAAGUCCCGCAACGAGCGCAACCCUUGUCCUAUGUUGCCAGCACGUAAUGGUGGGGACUCGUAGGAGACUGCCGGGGUCAACUCGGAGGAAGAUGGGGACGACGUCAAGUCAUCAUGCCCCUUAUGUCCAGGGCUGCAAACAUGCUACAAUGGCCGGUACAAAGGGCUGCUAUACCGCGAGGUUGAGCGAAUCCCAAAAAGCCGGUCUCAGUUCGGAUUGGAGUCUGCAACUCGACUCCAUGAAGUCGGAGUCGCUAGUAAUCCCGGAUCAGCAACGCCGGGGUGAAUACGUUCCCGGGUCUUGUACACACCG